CACUGCCUUACCCAUUCAACAAUAUUUGAAUCCAAACUUAAAGAUUGCAGUUUAUUGAUAAGCCUUCUAUGUGCAACAGUGUCAAAAGCCUUACUGAAAUCUAGGUAAGCAAUGCCUACUGCACCACCCUGAUCUAUAGUUUUAGUUACCCAAUCAAAAAAAUCAAUAAGAUUAGUUUGGCAUGAUCUCCCUGAAGUAAACCCAUGUUGUCUCUGAUCUUGAAAUUCAUGUGUUUUUAGAUGUUCAUCAAUCCUAUCCUUUAACAUGG